rnacentral:rRNA from 1 species
GAUGAACGCUGGCGGCGUGCUUAACACAUGCAAGUCGAACGGAAGUUUUAAAAGGAAGUUUUCGGAUGGAAUUUUAAAACUUUAGUGGCGGACGGGUGAGUAACGCGUGGGUAACCUGCCGUAUACAGGGGGAUAACACUUAGAAAUAGGUGCUAAUACCGCAUAAGCGCACAGCAUCGCAUGAUGCAGUGUGAAAAGCUCCGACGGUAUACGAUGGACCCGCGUCUGAUUAGCUAGUUGGUGAGGUAGAGGCUCACCAAGGCGACGAUCAGUAGCCGGCCUGAGAGGGUGACCGGCCACAUUGGGACUGAGACACGGCCCAA